UACGGAAGGGGCGAGCGUUGUUCGGAAUUAUUGGGCGUAAAGGGAGCGUAGGUGGUCCAUCAAGUGGAACUAUUCAGCGACGGGCUCAACCUGUCGAUUGGUUCCAAACUGAUGGACUUGAGUCCGCCAGGGGAUGACGGAAUUCCGGGUGUAGGGGUGAAAUCUAUAGAUAUCCGGAGGAACACCGAUGGCGAAGGCAGUCAUCUGGAGCUGGACUGACACUGAGGCUCGAAAGCCAGGGGAGCAAACG
rnacentral:rRNA from 1 species